rnacentral:rRNA from 1 species
GUGAACGCUGGCGGUAGGCCUAACACAUGCAAGUCGAACGGCAGCACAGUAAGAGCUUGCUCUUACGGGUGGCGAGUGGCGGACGGGUGAGGAAUACAUCGGAAUCUACUUUUUCGUGGGGGAUAACGUAGGGAAACUUACGCUAAUACCGCAUACGACCUACGGGUGAAAGCAGGGGAUCUUCGGACCUUGCGCGAUUGAAUGAGCCGAUGUCGGAUUAGCUAGUUGGCGGGGUAAAGGCCCACCAAGGCGACGAUCCGUAGCUGGUCUGAGAGGAUGAUCAGCCACACUGGAACUGAGACACGGUCCAGACUCCUACGGGAGGCAGCAGUGGGGAAUAUUGGACAAUGGGCGCAAGCCUGAUCCAGCCAUGCCGCGUGGGUGAAGAAGGCCUUCGGGUUGUAAAGCCCUUUUGUUGGGAAAGAAAAGCAGCAGGUUAAUACCCCGCUGUUCUGACGGUACCCAAAGAAUAAGCACCGGCUAACUUCGUG